rnacentral:rRNA from 1 species
GUACCGUAAACCGACACAGGUAGUCAAGGAGAGAAUCCUAAGGUGCUCGAGUGAUUCAUGGCUAAGGAACUAGGCAAAAUGGCCCUGUAACUUCGGGAGAAGGGGCGCCUCCUCUGUAAAGAGAGGCCGCAGUGAAUAGGCCCAGGCGACUGUUUAGCAAAAACACAUGGCUUUGCGAAAUCGAAAGAUAAAGUAUAAGGCCUGACACCUGCCCGGUGCUGGAAGGUUAAGGGGAACUGUGAGU